GCGACGUUCAUCAAGGAAGUACAGUGAUGGGGCAGAAAACGGGACUUCUUGUUGUGGUCGUAAAAUUCACAAGCCCCAAAAAAGCCAACUGGCCUGGUAACAGGUCAGGCUGUGCUCCCAGCACUGAGAGGGAGGGGCUCAGGCUAGAGUAGCAUCCCCUUCUCGGAGCUUCCCUCCUGGCAAGGGCGAGAUCUGUGCCUACCCCCUUCAACCCACGGCGUAAGGAAGCGGGUAUCUGUGGAGGGUGGCAAAGGCUUGGCACUAGGGAGCGGGCUUAAAGAGCCAAGCUGCUAAGACUUCCAGCGCCUCCCUCAGCGGCUGGGAUUCCUGCAGCUCCUGGGCUGAGGGGCCGUUUGCUGACCGGGACUUUGUCAGCAUCUUUAGGGUAACAGCUUUUAUUGGCAGUGCGCAAGGGCUCAGCUGCCAGCCGCUGAUAAGAGCAGCGCUGAAUGCAGCCUCGGUGCUGGGCCUUGAUCCCAUCGCCCCCUGUUGUGGCUCCAGCCCCUCCGAGGGUGGGGACCUUCAGGCCCUGUGCAGCACCCUCUUCCCUUCCACACAGGCAGGGCCGAAACGUGGCCGCUAAUGAACGGGCAUGGUGUCGCCAGGCAGCAGGGCGGGACGGGACGUGAAGAAGCUAAUUUGGAACUGCAACAGGAAGCUAGGGAGGUGGAAUAGGCAGCCGCAACUGUCUUGGGUGCUGCCUUUCUCGCUGUGUCAUAAGCGACCUGUUGAAUCAAAAGGGGAGGGGGCUUGCUGGAGCCUCUCCCAGGUGCAGAUACUCCCCCACCCAAGCUUGGAGUCUUUUGACCUUCCAGGUAUGCUGCAAAGCCUGUCGGUCUGAGCUGCCGGGGGUAGGGCCGAGGCUGUGGUUAUGUGACAGGAUCAGCUGCGUGGGGGAGGCAGUCUGGCAGUGCUGGGGUCUCAGAUGGUUUUGUGGCUGGGAUCCAUGCUGGUGCUGUGGUUUUUAAAUGCACGGUCAGGGCCCCAGAGCUUAGGACGGUGCCUGUCGCCAUGGGGGUUUAUUAAUAAAUAUCAUGGGCCUCCCAGUAACAGUUAGAGGCCCCUGAUGCGAGCGGGACCCCAUGGUGCCUGGUGCUGGACGCACACAGAAUACGCAGCGGCUGCCCCAACGUGAUCACAAUCUAAACAGCCAAAGGGUGGCUGGGGAAACAGAGGCAGGUGAAGUGACUUGCCUGUUGUCAUAUAGCCCGUUGCUGGCAGAGCUGGGAACAAAUCCAGAUCUCCAGAGUCCCAGGGUAGUUCUCUGCCCUCUAGAUCACGCUGCCUCUGUUAACUAUUUCAGCCUGAUGACCUGACUUAAUUGCAACCAGGUAAAACCCAGCUCCUAGGGACAAGGGUCGCCCUCAGCUUCUAGCCACGGGAACUGAGUGGGACUGGGUUUUUGGUCAGGAAUUUGUGACAAGUUGAGACCAAAACUUUUCGUGGGAAAUGGUUUGUCUGGACAAAACUUGUUGGGAAGGUUUCUCAGGUCCAGGAUGGAGUUUCUGGUAGAGGGGAGAGAGUGGGACCCCAGAGCAGCUACUCACCUGAGAGCUGGGGGCGCUCACCUGGAACAAGGUUCAGUUUCAAGUUCCUUUUCUGGCUGCGUUGGAGCUGGGGUAUGAAUGUGGGUCUCCAAUAGGCCAGCGAUGUACCCUAACCACUGGGCUCCUGGCUGCUCUGGGUCUCGGUUUCCUCCUCAUGGAGAAUGGGGCAAUUCUGAAAUCGGAAUGGGGAGGGUGGGAACAGGAAAGCUGGUUCCUGCCCCACUCCUGAGCUCUGAGACUCAGGACUUUGGGACGGCAUCUCCUCCAACUUGCUGGGGCUCCCCCUCCCCCUGCAUUGUCUCCUCUGAGACCCCAGCCCUGUCAGGGCGAGGGACCAGAACGGUCCCGCUGCUCAGCUCAGGCGUGAGGGUCGAUGGGGACAAACGGGGCAGCAGCGUGGUGGGGCUAACCAUGGGGCUGUCUCCUCCGCGUAGGCUCCACUGAGCCGGACACAUGGGUGGGGCCACGCUGCGCUAGCUGAAGCGGUCCUGGGGCUGUGACAGGGCUCUGAGCCAGUUCCCCUAGCCGGCCGGCCAGCUGGGUGGGGAUGGGACUGCUUGUUUUUUCCAGGCGAGAGCUCAAGGCCACCUUGGCUGCCUUUUCUCUCUGCCUCUCCCCCUCCUGGCAUGAUAAUCGCUCGCGGUGAAGGACAGUUUGCACAGCGUUAUCUACAGUGGCUUCUCCUCAGUCUUUGCAUGGAGUCCCUGGCUGGGGCGCUGCCGGGCGUGAGCUGAGCCUCGCUAACCGGAACGGCUCCCAUCUGGCCCUUUGGUUUAACAGCUUUUCCCUCAAGGUGAGAGCCAAGGUUUGCUUAAAGUGGAGGUGGGGCACAGGAGGGUGUCUCUCUCCCUCCCUCAGCCCCCCUCCCGCCCCCAGGAUGGCGGCUCGGCACGUGUGAGGGAAUCCCAAUCCCCCCUGCGCCCCGACAAAUCAACCUGUGGUCUGCAAUGCAGCACGGGCACUAGCCACAAUGGCCUGAUCCUGAGCCCACCUGUGGGGCGGAAGCGUGGCCUGGGUGGGGGUGGGGGAGUUUGACUUCUGGCCCCAGAUCCGCAGAGGCAUUGCAGCAUCUAAAUCCUACUGGUUUCAAUAGGAGUGAGGUGCCUGGGAGCCUCUGGGGAAUCGGAGACUUGGCUCCCAAGUGCCCUCUGAUGGUGGCUGCCUCCAUCUGUCUGUCUGUCCAACUAGAGCCUGUGAUCUCUGCCUGUGCCCCAUGGGCCAUUUGCAUCCCCGUCAGGAUGGCCGAUGUGCUAUCCUCAGGGCUGCACAGGUAGGGUGUAUAUGGUGUGGUUGUGUCCCACAGAGAGCUGCCUUGGCGGCCCCUAAUGGUAAAUAGGUUGCAAACUGGAGGCUCUUUGGGGGCUGGUGUUCGGAGGGGCGGGGCAAGGUAUCUCAGGCUGGGCACCCCAAACUCGAGGCUCCUCUUCCACGCCUGCGGCUGCCCACGUGCCCUCCUGAGGUGGGCUCAGUCUAUUGGCCUCCCUCCCCAGGCUGUAACCAAGCUUGUGGGCGAGUGUCGGGGCUCUGAGGCCCGGGUGCUGCUCUACAGGAGGGCAGCGUGUGGGCCCCGGCCGGCCGGCUUCGCAAGCCUGAGCCCCACUCCACCCAGAGCGCCCUCAGCCAGGGGCGGAGCAGGAGGCCUGCAUCGUCCCUGUGUGCUGCCCGGGGAUAGAAACCAGCAUGGAGCACCGUGCUGGCCUUGCUCCUCGGUCCGAGACGGCAGCAGUUCCUUGGCUUCAGCUCGUGAACCUGCACCUGGCUGCUCAGUGCAAGGCCAGACUCCACCCUGGUGCCGCGGCACCAACUUCAGUGGGGUCUGGCCGGGGAUGGAUUCAGGCAAACGGGCCAGAAGUCAGGGUCCCGGUCGGUCCUGGGGUCUCUACAGGGGUUGGCAAAAAAAAAAAAAAAAAAAGGAAGGAGCCUUUUGCAGGUGAAUCACGUGGCAACAACUACACCAGGCAAGCUGCUGACCUCUCUCCAUCCACAUUCUCCGACCGUGCCCAUCCCUGUGACAUCUGGCCAGGUGAGAUCGCAGUUAUUCCCGUGCUGAAGUAGCUGCCUUCUUUGCAGGCCUGACGCCUCGAAGGCCGAGGCAAAAGCAUCACUGCCCCCUUAUCUGCGGUGAUAAGUGUAAUCGCUCUGGGGGCUGCGGGCUAAACCAACUCCCCGCUCCGCAGCGGAGUGGGGGGGGCAGAGUCUUGGAUUUACUAUCUCUGCUUAGGAACUGUGCAGCCGGGCAGCCCCAAGGUCAACUCGGCUGGAUGCUCACAGCACUGGAUUCACUGAUUCUCUGCUUAGGAACGGUGCACCAAAGGAGCAGCCCCAGGGCCCGGCUGCUCGUGCCCUGCACUGCAAGGCCAGGCCCCGUGCGGGAAAGACGAUCGUAAGUGGAAGAGAGAGCCCAGGAGAAGUGUGAGUAACAUGAACGGUCCUGCUGCCGUGGGCUUGCCUGGGACUGAAGAGCACUGAGGCGGUGGUAAUCUGUUCGAAGGGCUUUUUGGGGCUCUCCCCUCCUGGCUGACAGCCGGACUCCACCAUGGUUAGCACAUUUCAAAGCCUCGCCUGGCACCAAUUAAAGAAAUUGAUCUGAAGAUCCUGUACUCAGUGAUCAGCUUGGCCCUACCCAGUCCAGGGGAGGGGGCAAGGAAAGGCCCUGUCUGUGAAAGGCAGGUGAAACAGGGGCCUCCCUCCGCCUCCCUGCAUCCUUGGCCAGCGUUACACAGGAGGUGCGACUAGAUUAGGUCAGACUAGAUUGAAGUUCCCUUAUGGCCUUGGAAUCUGAGUGCUGCUGGGACAGAGCGGGGGUGCUCUAGGGUGAUUCUCACCCCUCCAGGCUUAUUCUCCUCCCCAGGGGGUACCCAGAGCUGAGCGUCAAGCCAUAGAGCUGCCAUGCAGGUCCCGUAGCCUGAUGGCUCAAGCUCUUCGCUGCACUGCAGGAGAGCUGGGUUCGAAUCCUGAAAGUGCCUUCGCUCCCUAGAUCAGCAGGGGACGUGGGCGGGGGGCAUGGUCAGCCCUUAAUGGGGGAUGGAGAGCCACACUGCUGGGGUCUCGGAAGGGCCGGAAGAAUGGUCAGAGAGCAAGGCUGGGGUCAGCCAGGCCACGUUGGCCUGCUACAAUUCCCCACGGCCCAUUUCCACACCGCAGAAACCAGCACCUCGGUUGCAGUUAGCUCGUUCCCCUUUUGGGCUGGGGCAGCAGCGGGGCCAAGGAUUGAGUUGGCAGGGGAAGUCCAAUCCCUGCUUAACCCUAAAGUGAAAACAGUCUCUGGUCAUGUGAAGCCAAUUUGUAGGUUGCCUUCUGUGCUCAUGAUUGAGCUGGAGCAGCUGCAGGUCCGUGUUCUGGCAGAACUGGGCAGGCCAAUCCUUGAUGCCAGGGGUCUGUCUCCCCAUGUUUUCGCUGGAGCCUCUGAACUCUGCUCAUCAGCACAACUGCUUGUGUCUCCACUGAAAACGCUGCCCAGCCAGGAAGGCAAAAGCCACAGUUGCUGGUAGGCUAAAGCCCCAUUGGCACUCCAGGAAAUCGGUGCCACCUGGGAGCAGCUCAGGAGGUGCUGCUUCCCAGCAAGGGGCUGAGAUGCUGGCCAGGGCCAGGGCCAGGGCCAAGGCUCUAAUCUAAACCUUUGAGCCAGCCGCGUAGCUGUCAAGGACACCGUUUGCAAGGCCCUGGGCACCCCAGCGACUUCCCCUCACUAGACAGUGAGAUCACAUCAGAACAUGACCACGAGGAGUCAUGUUAACAGCAUAGACAGGGAAGACAGGGACAAGUCAGGUUAAACAUCAUGCCAGCUGGUUAGGGGUUACCCUGUGAUUCCCGAAGGGUUUACCCAUGACCAGCUGGUAUAACAUUAAACACAACAUGCCCCUAUCUACACUGGAUACUUAACAUCCUGUUCCUUACUUCCAAGCAGACGCCCUUGGGAGGUGCGGAGGGGAAAAACCUUUCUGGCCAAAACCUAAUAGGGUUCUAACCGGAAAACGGGCACAAGCUACUCUGUUCUGAUCCAGAGCCUAGCUGUUUGGGGCUGGAGCUUGGAUUCAGGCCCAUCUGAGCCUUCCUGACCACUGGGAACAGGAAGGUUGUUAUAAAACCAGGCUGUGGGCAGACGCUUCUCGGGCUGCACUGGGGAACGUGAGUACGGCUGGCUAGGGGGGGUAGGAUGAUAGCAUGGGCCACUGGAGACACGGAUUCACGUCCCUGCUCUGCCAAAGGCUCCCUGUGUGACUUGGAGUGACUCACUGCAGCCCAGAUACACCAAGACAUUUAGGUUCCUAAGUUCUGUUGAAAUCCACGGGAGUCAGGACCCUAAAUCCUUUUGCAGAUCUGAGCCUUAAGCUCCCUGGGCCUCCAUUCCCGAUCUGCAAGAUGGGGCUAGCAGCAGUGCCCUACCUUCUGGGAUUGAGACGUGCUCAGAGACUACAGUACCGGGGGUCAGGCUACCACAGACAGAGAGAAACCUAGCUACCACCUGAUUGUCACCUGCUGCAGUUAAAGCCCAGCCACUCUCAGUGCAGAUUAAAUACCUGUAUUUAUUACUCCGAGUAUCUGUUUGGUGCCCAUCACCACAGCAUCUGGGCGACAUACUAGACUUUUGAGACCACUCACGCCAUGCAGCGUUACCAGCCACCAACGAAGCCUGGGGCUGGGUGGGGGCCCUGCUAUCUUGCAUCCGGAAGGCCAGUGCUGCCCGCAGGUGUUUCCUCACCUGGAGAGAAUCUGGCCAGACUUGAAGUAUUAGCUCUGAUUGCACCUGGCUAGAGCAGGGACCCUGCCUGGCAUGGGAGGAGCUGCAGCACAACCCCCCCCCCCGCCCGCCCGCCCGCCCCCGGGCUAGACACAGCCGGAGGCUGGUUUUUGUGCUUGUUUCCACUGCAGGAAGCUUUGCAGGCGGUUUCUGCACCUGGCAGGGCCUUUGGGACUUUCCGCAGCAGAUAAGAAAUUGCAUGGCUCGGCUAACUGGAGAAUCCAAGGUGCCGCUGGCGAUUGCCCUCCCUCUGUGCUGAAGCCGGGGAGAGGUGCCGGCGGCUCUUGCCAAGGCCAAAGUCUAGAGCGCGGCGAUUACACCUCCGCUGAGGAAGGCCCUGCCUGGCGCGAGCACCUGCCGUUCGGCUCCUGGGUGUUAAAAAUGCCACCGUCGCCGCCUUUCGAGCGGGGACUCAGAGCUGCUGGGUUUGUCUUGUGCUGGAAAGGAGGGAGGUCCAUGGCCAUCCUCAGAGGCAAAGGCCUGGGGGCGGGCGGAGCUGAAGGUCACACUCCAGUUACCGGCUCACUCUGCUCCGAGGGGAGCCGGAGCCGUCGUUUCCACCUGCAGGGGUGGAACUGGCCACGCGUGCCCCCUCCCUGGUCCGCAGCCCUGGUGGAGCCACACCCUGGGGUCGUGACCCCUACAAGGGUUUUGGGGGUUAAUACUGCCCUGUCCUUGUCAUGUUACUAAAUAGGAGCUGGGGUCCCAGCUGGCCGGUGGGGUGGAUCCCAGGGGGUGGCAACAUGGGAAAGGUAGAGAAACCCUGGUCUGAUGCACCAGCGUAAGAAUUUACUGCUUCUUCUGUCCUUCACAGCCGGUGGCCUUUGCCUGCCUCUGCUCAGACGACACCUCAGCAGCUGGGAGAGACGCAGCCCUGGGUGGACUGAGGACAGGGCACCGCGUGGGAUCACCUGACCUCAGCAGGAAAUAAUUAUUUAUUUACGGGACAGGACCAGGCCAUGAUGGGCUGAAGACCACGGUCUUGUGAGUGCUCUGAGAGCCUUAGAUAACAGGUGGCUGAGCAUAAAUCAAAAGGGUUUCUUUUCCUCUUUGUCACCAGGUACUGCGGGACGAGGGGUCUGACGGGUCGGCGGGCCGACUGGUAACUCUCUCCUCCGACGUCUUGAAGCCACACGCGUGACUUUUUAAGCCAGUUGGGUCAUUUCUGAUGGACGCCGUUUGAACGCUUGGUGUUGGCGACGCUGCUGAUACUAACUUUCCGCCCCAAGGCUAUCUCUAAGUGGAAGGUGGUGAGAGGACAGAUUCCUCCCUGCCCCGAACCCUCUGGCAUUACUUACCCCAUGUGCAGAAUGCCGGGGAGGGACACAGGGGGACAAGGAGCUAGGGAGAGGCUGGUCAGAGCCCGGGGGUCACAUUUAGCCCCAGUGUAAGCAGCUGCAGCUUCUUAACAUACACGUGUGUCCCCCACAAGUGGAAUUAGGCUGGUGGGCCCAGCCCCUCAAUGGUAUUUAGGUGCCUUUGAGGAUCUAGGCCUUGGUCUUUACAUUCCCACAGUGACUGAACAAGCAUAAUCGCGUUCUUCUCCCCUAUCACCCUGCUUGUAGUACAUGGUCUCCUAGCAGUCAGCUCUGCCUUGCCUCCAGGCUGCUGUGCUAAGCCCCCCUUGUUCAUUACACCACAACGAGGAGUUCCCCAAGAGGACGCGGUGAAAAAGAGAGGCGUGUGGUGUUGCUGUGUGGCUAUGACGUCCCACCCCAAAAGUGGCUGCAUUUCUGAGCUGGGUGAAAGGAUUCCCGGAUAUAGCCUGCCACGUGCACUGGGAACCUUCACGAUGCAAAAGCUGCUGCCGGCUGAGGGCAUGAUCUGGGGCUGAGCGUCGCUUUGGAGGUGCACCCUGGCACCAUCCCUGCACUGCCAGCCGAUGCAGAAUGGGGCAGGGCCUUUGCCACACCCACGGUGGAGGGGCUCGUGGUGCCAGAAUGUCCCACGGAUAGAGGAAGCAUCAGGGUUCUCGCUGUCCUCUGUCCAAGUGUGCAGAGGGCUCCAGUGUGCUCUCCCCACUCUGUACCCGCACAGAGCUCUUAGUUUCAGAGUAAUAGCCGUGUUAGUCUGUAUUCGCAAAAAGAAAAGGAGUACUUGUGGCACCUUAGAGACUAACCAAUUUAUUUGAGCAUAAGCUUUCGUGAGCUACAGCUCACUUCAUCGGAUGCAUACUGUGGAAAGUGUAGAAGAUCUUUUUAUACACACAAAGCAUGAAAAAAUACCUCCUCCCACCCCACUCUCCUGCUGGUAAUAGCUUAUGUAAAGUGAUCACUCUCCUUACAAUGUGUAUGAUAAUCAAGUUGGGCCAUUUCCAGCACAAAUUCAGGUUUUCUCCCCUCCCCUCCCUCCACACAAACCCACUCUCCUGUUGGUAAUAGCUUAUCUAAAGUGACCAGUCUCCUUACAAUGUGUAUGAUAAUCAAGGUGGGCCAUUUCCAGCACAAAUCCAGGGUUUAACAAGAACGUCUAGGGGUGGGGGGUAGGAAAAAACAAGGGGAAACAGGUUACCUUGCAUAAUGACUUAGUGUCUCUAUUCAAGCCUAAGUUAAUUGUAUCCAAUUUGCAAAUGAAUUCCAAUUCAACAGUCUCUCGCUGGAGUCUGGAUUUGAAGUUUUGUUAUUGUAAUAUUGCAACUUUCAUGUCUGUAAUCGCGUGACCAGAGAGAUUGAAGUGUUCUCCGACUGGUUUAUGAAUGUUAUAAUUCUUGACAUCUGAUUUGUGUCCAUUUAUUCUUUUACGUAGAGACUGUCCAGGGUUGACUCACAGCCCCCAAGUAUUUCCCAACUUGGUUUUCUAACUUGGGCUCAGCCAAACAUACCUUAAUAGCUGAUUGUAUCACGAGGGAUAGACAGAGACCUUUGUUUAUGCCCUAGCAGGGAGAGAAAACACCCAGCGACAAAUCACUUCAUUGCUCCGAUUGUACUUGAUAGCGCUGAGCCAGCGAGCAGACAACAGGACACGGUACCUCGACACCUGUGCAGAUUCAAAUAUAAAUGGGAGCUGUCAGGGAAGGUUGUUUAAGGUGUUCUGAGUUUUAAUGCAUUAGGUGAAGCUUAUUGUGCCAUGGGUGUGAUAAGGGAUGCUUUAGACUGGCCAUAGUCUCUCUUUCUUCAUCACUCUGAUGAGCUGUGACCUACAAAGCACUGGGUUUGUGCCUGAUUUGAUUAAUAAUUAAAUAACGGUCAUCUCUCUAAUACUUCAUUCUUACCUAGCACUUUGCAUCUGUAAACUGCAAGGACCUCAUCAAGAGGGUAAAUGGCAUCCCCCCGUUUUACAAAUGGAGAAACUGAGGCAUGGAGACAGGAAAUUAUUUGUCCAAGUCUGUUUUGCUUCUUUAUGAUGUAUAAAAAUUCCCCAUCCCUCUCCCCACAAUCCCCUGUACGUUAUUGGGGUACAGUUCUGGAACCUAAAGGGGUUUUUUUCCUCUUGCUUGUUAAUUACCUUAGAAAUAUUAAUAUUGUCAGACUUCAUCUCCCCCGGAUUCAUGGGAGGGCUUUUUGGUCUGCCUUGGAGAAAUGUAUUGUAACCUCUCCCACCUCAGUUAAAGGGGGUGGGAAUUUUGAGUCUUUAACAAAGAUGGUCUGUGGCCUAAGGCUUCACUAGGCAUCAGAGUGAAACCGGCACCAACAAAAAGGGGUACCGAGAUUUUCAAAAGUGACUACGUGAGACUGGGGGUGCUUCCACUUUGGGAGACCCAACGUGAGACACCUUAAAGCGGUUGUCAGAAGGGGCUGAGCACCUGCCCUCUGAAUAAAAGGCGCUGAGGUUGUGCCCCAGAAUCACUGGCGCUUUUGAAAGUCUUGGCCAAAGGGCUGGAAACCAGCUGACUAUGAUUUCCUUCCCUUCUCAGCUGUUAAGAACAUAAGAACGGCCAGGCUGGGUCAGACCAAAGGUCCAUCCAGCCCAGUAUCCUGUCUACCACCAGUGACCAACGCCAGGUGCCCCAGAGGGAGUGAACCUAACAGACCACAACACCCAGUGAAGCCUGGGAGCCGCUGCCACCCCGUGGACAAUAGAGAGGACACACUGCCAGGCUGGAAAGCAAAGAACCCACAACAGCUGACGCCCUGUGACAGUUUGGCAAAUGUAUAGUAGGCUAAUCUUUAAUCCUCCACCGUGCGCGUGUAAUAUGUUAGCUAUUGUGUCCAAGUGCUAUGGGGGACUCUCCCACCUUGUACACAAGAUGGAUCUUCAGAGGCCCUGGGGAGCAAAACAAAUGAGUAAAUAACAUCCUCUUUGAGUCAGGUCGUCUUUCAACACCUUUGUUCUCCUGCAGGAUUACAGCGAUUAACUAGUUUGCAUAGUUUGUUACAGUGCACGGUAAUCUCAUUCAGUCAGCAUGGAAACUAGAUGUCAGACAGGCAGGCCUCGAUGACUCAGAAGAUCAGGAGCAGGUCACGUGCCCCCCCCUUUACCUGGUGCCCCCCUUUAUGUCCCUCCCACACAUCACCUGUGGUAGGAUCUACAGUUUUUCUCUGCUCCGCUCGUGUGGUUUCAAACACGUGAAUUGAAAAUGUCCACUCUGGGGUUCUGUAGACUACGUGAACUGAGGCCGGCAUUCUCAGUCUCGGUGUAGUGAGCUGGUGUCCAAUCUGGCCACAGUAACAAAUCUGGCAUUCAAAGAUGUUCAGAGUAGCUGCCCGAUGUGACCAACUGGGAAAUAGCCCUGUUGUUGUUUAAAGAAUGUGUGCAGGCCUCUGUGUAUUUGGCCAGGCAGGAUGGAAUUAAAGCAAAGGAGGCUGGAAAUGAGGAAACCUCCAGGCCAGGAGCAAUGGCAAAGAUAAGACAGCUUUAGGUACACACCUUGAAAGCAGCUAACAUAACAAUGGCUGGGCCAUCAAGGGGGGAACAAACUACCUCCAUACAGGCUCCCCUGAGUUACUCCUCCCAAGGCCAUGCCUGGGAUCAAAGGAGACCUAAAGGCUCUGAAAAAGAGAGAGGUGGAGUGUGAUAGGGAGGGAGGAGAGGGGAGGGAGGAGAAGCUACCAGGUGUGUCAGAGAAAAGCUGACCAGGAACAGGGAGACAUAGAGACUGUAAACAGGCCAGGCCAGAGAUGGACUCAGCUGAGCUGAGGGGAAUUUGCAAAGGUUAUUGCCUUGGUUGGCGCUCUGCUCUCAUGCAUUGUCCCUUUGAGAAAUGAACAAACGACGGGCUGUUUUGAAGACACCGGCUCUGGGUCACUGCAAAUGGAAGCCGUCCCAGGCUCUCGAAGGGAAACUUCUAGUGGUGCCCAAACUAGACUGACUCUUUGUCAUUAAUACAAUUGGGAGCCAGAGAUCAGCAGCCCAGAGAUCCAGGCUGACAGUAGUUCUUCCCAAAGUGAGGGAGGAAACCAGGCCUCUCAUGUAAGGGGUGCACUCGGGAGGGACUGAAAGGGGCCCAAGGCACAGUUUGCCCAGUAACUGUGACACUUUAUAAAUUAAAAAAACAAAACAAAACAAAAAAACCCUAAAUCCAUCAUCAUUUAUACUAUUUAUGUCCCUUCUUGACAAAGCCAACAGGCCAUGGGCUGAAAGGGCCUCUCUCGUGCAUAGAAGGUGUCUCUCCAGGUGAAGUCUGAGGUUCCUGGCAUGGGGGGGGAGCUUGCAUUGUGGAUAGAAAACUUCAUUCUUGUGGUGUAUUGAAAACUUAAAAAAUUGCAAGCUGUCACUUUAAAGCCUAAGGGUUUUUUACUGAUCCUGCUUACAGGGUAGCGGGACUCUAUAGGGAAGCAUGUGAUCAGAGUCAAUUCUUCAGAUAGCCAGCCUCGAGUAAAGUGGGACGAGUUGCGUCUCUCUGUUUUUGGGGAGCAGCCUUGUUUGUCUCUCUCUGAUUUGGGGUUCUUGUGUGUUAUUGUUCAGAAUGCUAAGAAAUAAAGUAGUGUUACAUUGCAACCCUUCA